CCGGGAAGUUUUCUCGAAAAGUGUGCGAGUGAGGACAAAACACACUGGAAAGCCUCGUGGUGAUGUGUGGGUGUCGGGAUGUUACAAAGGGAAAGCUUCCCAGUACCCCAAAUAACCUCCAAGAGCCUUUUCCAGUCACUCUAAGUGAAAAAUUAAGUGUACAAGGAGAAUAAUCCACAAAACCUCGCAAGAAACAUGUUUAAAUAACCCAUUUUGACAUCUCAGCGACGCCACCACUCAAGCCCCCUUUUGGGGCACUGAACGUCGUUGCACCUGGUCCUGUUGCACUCAGGCCCCCUUUCUGGGGCGCUCAAGCCCCCUUUCUGAAUCACUCAACCCCAUUGCACCUGGCCCUGUCGCACUUAGGCCCUUCUCAACUCCCUAGCACUUUGACAACAUUUUGAAAUUUAAGCACUUGCAUGAUUCUAAAGGCGUCCAACAUGGGUAUUUGCUUCAAAUUGAUAUUUUCUUGUCCC
rnacentral:lncRNA from 1 species